rnacentral:rRNA from 1 species
CGCUGGAGAACUGAGGGGGGCUGCUCCUAGUACGAGAGGACCGGAGUGGACGCAUCACUGGUGUUCGGGUUGUCAUGCCAAUGGCACUGCCCGGUAGCUAAAUGCGGAAGAGAUAAGUGCUG